rnacentral:lncRNA from 1 species
UUUUAAUUGUGAUGUUUGUUUUUAGUUUAAUUAUGAAGAAAUUUUGACUUAGUGGUCAAAUGAUGAUAUAUUUAUGUUCUAUAAAUCAUAUUUUCCUAAACAAAAUUGAAAAUCAACUCAAUUGAAUUGAACUGAAUUCAAACCAAACCGAACACAAACCAACUAAUUUUAGUUGACUUCACUAAAAUAUUCAUAAAACCAAACAAGCCAAACCGAACUAUAUAUUUCCUAUUUGAGUGUGACAAUCUAAUUUUAUUCUUACGGUUCAAUGUAAAUUAAUUCAAAUACAAAAUGAUUUAAAAAAUGAAAUAGAAA